GUGCUCACUUCGGCAGCACAUAUACUAAAAUUGGAACAAUACAGAGAUUAUCAUGGCCCUUGUGCAAGGAUGACACACAAAUUUGUGAAGCAUUCUAUAUUUUG